UUAAAACUCAAAUGAAUUGACGGGGGCCCGCACAAGCGGUGGAGCAUGUGGUUUAAUUCGAUGCAACGCGAAGAACCUUACCUACUCUUGACAUCCAGAGAAUCUAGCGGAGACGCUGGAGUGCCUUCGGGAGCUCUGAGACAGGUGCUGCAUGGCUGUCGUCAGCUCGUGUUGUGAAAUGUUGGGUUAAGUCCCGCAACGAGCGCAACCCUUAUCCUU
rnacentral:rRNA from 1 species